UUUUUUAAAGGACUAAAAGUGCCCUUUUUUGUGAUAAAAAGUGCCCUUUUUGUGUUGAAAAGUGCCCUUUUUUGUGAGGAAAAGUGCCCCUUUUGUAGAAGCUAAUGUCGCUGUAAAUACUAAAUUAAAACAAUAGGUGCCGUUUUUGUGUGGAAAUUUACAAUUUUUUUUUAAAAAUUAGGUCACAAACAUAAAUUUCGGUAUGAUACGACGGAAAAUUUUCCUCAGGAGAAAUUUCUCUCCCCCCCCCCCGUCGACAACAUUUCCGGGAAAAAUUUUUUAGGUGCCCUUUCCGAUAGUAAUGUGCCCCUACAAGCCGGUGCCCCCCCAAACUCCAGGUGCUUCCUACGCCCCUGCUUGAGAAGACUAAACAUUUACGACAAAGUGUCAAUUUACUCGUUGCAACGAUAAAACCGCAUCGUGCUAUUGGAUCUCAAACUUUAGCUUGAUGGAUUAAAAUUGUCUUAGCCGGUGCUGGUAUUGACAUUACUUUAUUCAAACCACAUUCUACACGACA